UCUGGGACAGAAUUCUCACACAUUGUUCCUCAAUCCAUUUUUGGGUACAAGGAUUGCAGGAAAAGAUAGAACUGGUUCCCCUUGAUCUGCAAGACAGACCUUCCAUCUAGUUCUGCCUGACUUUCAAUCUAGUCAAAAAGUCUAGACUUAGGAACCUAAACUUUCACUAUUUCUCAGUUCUCAGACGGGACACUAUUAUGUACUUGAGUCAAUUGGUAUGCCAGAAUGCAAGCUUGGCCUUAACGAUCGAGUGUUGCUAGAGGCACAAGGCAGAGCAACAAAGGGAAAAGCUAUUGAUUUGGAAGACAUCAAAUUUCAUCAGUAAAGAAGAAGGGUGAUAAAGAUGAGAGGAAGCUCAAGAGAAGGAUGACUAAUCCAAUGGAUUCUGUUUUUCUUUUUAUUAAUGGGCUUUGAUGUUUGUGGAGUUUAAUCUUUUUUUGGUUCCCAAUAAAAUACAUUAUCUGUGAUUGAACUUUCAGCUUGUUGGUUAGCUUUUCUCAGCU